AUACGAAGGGGGCUAGCGUUGUUCGGAAUUACUGGGCGUAAAGCGCGCGUAGGCGGACUGAUCAGUUGGGGGUGAAAUCCCAGGGCUUAACCCUGGAACUGCCUCUAAUACUGUCAGUCUUGAGUUCGGGGGAGGUGAGUGGAAUUCCUAGUGUAGAGGUGAAAUUCGUAGAUAUUAGGAAGAACACCAGUGGCGAAGGCGGCUCACUGGCCCGAUACUGACGCUGAGGCGCGAAAGCGUGGGGAGCAAACAGGAUUAGAAACCCUAGUAGUCC
rnacentral:rRNA from 1 species